rnacentral:rRNA from 1 species
UAAGGAAUAUUGCGCAAUGGGCGAAAGCCUGACGCAGCGACGCCGCGUGGGGGAUGAAGGUCUUCGGAUUGUAAACCCCUUUCGGGAGGGAAGAUGGAGCGAGCAAUCGUUCGGACGGUACCUCCAGAAGCAGCCACGGCUAACUUCGUGCCAGCAGCCGCGGUAAUACGAAGGUGGCAAGCGUUGUUCGGAUUUACUGGGCGUACAGGGAGCGUAGGCGGUUCGGUAAGCCCUCUGUGAAAUCUCCAGGCUUAACCUGGAACAGUCGGAGGGGACUGCCGGGCUAGAGGACGGGAGAGGAGCGCGGAAUUCCCGGUGUAGCGGUGAAAUGCGUAGAGAUCGGGAGGAAGGACGGUGGCGAAGGCGGCGCUCUGGAACGUUUCUGACGCUGAGGCUCGAAAGCGUGGGGAGCAAACAGG